CAUGCCCAGUGUAUAAACUGGGGGACUUACUUGUUAGAAGGGCCAGAUCUGAGUUUGGAACAAAGUCUGGUAUUGGUCAGGGGGUGGGACAGGCCUGGAGAGAGAACAAGCAGCUGCAUGGUUCUUAGUUUCCAGCUCAGAUUAAAUCACAAGAGCAUGUUAGCUUAAUGGCUGGAAUCAAUGAUCUCAGAGCUUUCUGAAAGCAAACAAAUCGGUGCCUUCUAAUGUAGGCUGGAAGACAAAACUGGUAUUGAAUUGAGGAAGAUUACUAAAAACGUGGACACUUAAGGUAUAACGGAGCAAAUUUAUACUUAAGGAAAAGGACAAAUGAAAGAGGAAUAUUUAUAUGCCGGAACACUUGUAGCACUGCACAGAACUUUGAACUGAAGAAAGCUGUAGAGGACAGAUAAGCAAGCCUGGUGAAACCUGGAAAGAGGUUUUCCCCAUCAAAUAUCAAAUUCCGAAUGGCUUUUGGAAUCAUCUUUGGUCAUCAUCCAAGACAUGGAUUAAUAUGAAACAGCUGAAGCAAGGACCAAUAUUCAGCCCUCCAAAACAGUGAAUGAGCACUUCAGUGACCAGAAAAUUAUAUAAUAUUUUGGACCUAUAAAUACUUGCCUGACAGAGUGCAAAUGCAGAAAAUGCUUCACUGAAAAAUUCUCCAAAUUACUUUAAAUGUGGAAAAUAU